CGUAGGGUGCGAGCGUUGUCCGGAAUUAUUGGGCGUAAAGGGCUCGUAGGCGGUUUGUCGCGUCGGGAAUGAAACACUGGGCUUAACUCAGUGCUUGCUUCCGAUACGGGCAGACUAGAGGUAUUCAGGGGAGAACGGAAUUCCUGGUGUAGCGGUGAAAUGCGCAGAUAUCAGGAGGAACACCGGUGGCGAAGGCGGUUCUCUGGGAAUGUCCUGACGCUGAGGAGCGAAAGUGUGGGGAGCGAACAGGAUU
rnacentral:rRNA from 1 species